CCUACGGGGGGCAGCAGUGGGGAAUAUUGCACAAUGGGCGCAAGCCUGAUGCAGCCAUGCCGCGUGUGUGAAGAAGGCCUUCGGGUUGUAAAGCACUUUCAGCGGGGAGGAAGGCGUUAAGGUUAAUAACCUUGUCGAUUGACGUUACCCGCAGAAGAAGCACCGGCUAACUCCGUGCCAGCAGCCGUGGUAACACGGAGGGUGCAAGCGUUAAUCGGAAUUACUGGGCGUAAAGCGCACGCAGGCGGUCUGUCAAGUCGGAUGUGAAAUCCCCGGGCUCAACCUGGGAACUGCAUUCGAAACUGGCAGGCUAGAGUCUUGUAGAGGGGGGUAGAAUUCCAGGUGUAGCGGUGAAAUGCGUAGAGAUCUGGAGGAAUACCGGUGGCGAAGGCGGCCCCCUGGACAAAGACUGACGCUCAGGUGCGAAAGCGUGGGGAGCAAACAGGAUUAGAUACCCCAGUAGUC
rnacentral:rRNA from 1 species